rnacentral:rRNA from 1 species
UACGUAGGGCGCAAGCGUUGUCCGGAAUUAUUGGGCGUAAAGAGCUCGUAGGCGGUCUGUCACGUCUGCCGUGAAAACCCGAGGCUUAACCUCGUGGCUUGCGGUGGAUACGGGCAGACUAGAGGUAGGUAGGGGAGAAUGGAAUUCCCGGUGUAGCGGUGAAAUGCGCAGAUAUCAGGAGGAACACCGGUGGCGAAGGCGGGUCUCUGGGCCGAAACUGACGCUGAGGAGCGAAAGCGUGGGGAGCGAACAGG